rnacentral:sRNA from 1 species
UCCAGUACUAUCCGCCAUGAAAUAAAA